rnacentral:rRNA from 1 species
UACAGAGGUUCCAAGCGUUGUUCGGAUUUAUUGGGCGUAAAGGGUGCGCAGGCGGCGCGGUAAGUCGGGUGUGAAAUCUCGGAGCUUAACUCCGAAACUGCAUUCGAUACUGCCGUGCUUGAGGACUGGAGAGGAGACUGGAAUUUACGGUGUAGCGGUGAAAUGCGUAGAUAUCUGGAGGAACACCGGUGGCGAAGGCGGCAUCCUGGACCGGCAUUGACGCUGAGGAGCGAAAGCCAGGGGAGCAAACGGG